CCUACGGGGGGCAGCAGUGGGGAAUAUUGGACAAUGGGGGGAACCCUGAUCCAGCCAUGCCGCGUGUGUGAAGAAGGCCCUCGGGUUGUAAAGCACUUUCAGUGAGGAAGAACGCCUGGUGGUUAAUACCCAUCAGGAAAGACAUCACUCACAGAAGAAGCACCGGCUAACUCCGUGCCAGCAGCCGCGGUAAUACGGAGGGUGCGAGCGUUAAUCGGAAUUACUGGGCGUAAAGCGCGCGUAGGUGGCUUGAUAAGCCGGUUGUGAAAGCCCCGGGCUCAAACUGGGAACGGCAUCCGGAACUGUCAAGCUAGAGUGCAGGAGAGGAAGGUAGAAUUCCCGGUGUAGCGGUGAAAUGCGUAGAGAUCGGGAGGAAUACCAGUGGCGAAGGCGGCCUUCUGGACUGACACUGACACUGAGGUGCGAAAGCGUGGGUAGCAAACAGGAUUAGAUACCCGGGUAGUC
rnacentral:rRNA from 1 species